CCUACGGGGGGCAGCAGUGGGGAAUAAUGCACAAUGGGCGCAAGCCUGAUGCAGCCAUGCCGCGUGUGUGAAGAAGGCCUUCGGGUUGUAAAGCACUUUCAGCGGGGAGGAAGGCGAUAAGGUUAAUAACCUUGUCGAUUGACGUUACCCGCAGAAGAAGCACCGGCUAACUCCGUGCCAGCAGCAGCGGUAAUUCGGAGGGUGCAAGCGUUAAUCGGAAUUACUGGGCGUAAAGCGCACGCAGGUGGUCUGUCAAGUCGGAUGUGAAAUCCCCGGGCUCAACCUGGGAACUGCAUUCGAAACUGGCAGGCUAGAGUCUUGUAGAGGGGGGUAGAAUUCCAGGUGUAGCGGUGAAAUGCGUAGAGAUCUGGAGGAAUACCGGUGGCGAAGGCAGGCCCCCUGGACAAAGACUGACGCUCAGGUGCGAAAGCGUGGGGAGCAAACAGGAUUAGAUACCCCGGUAGUC
rnacentral:rRNA from 1 species